rnacentral:rRNA from 1 species
UACGAGGGGUGCAAGCGUUGCUCGGAAUUAUUGGGCGUAAAGGGUAGGUAGGUGGUCUUAUUUGUCCGGGGUGAAAGCCUUGAGCUUAACUCAAGAGGUGCCCCGGAAACGGUGAGACUCGAGUACUGGAGAGGGUCGUGGAAUUCCCGGUGUAGCGGUGAAAUGCGUAGAGAUCGGGAGGAACACCAGAGGCGAAGGCGGCGACCUGGACAGUUACUGACACUCAACUACGAAAGCGUGGGGAGCAAACAGG